CUUCAUAUAGAUAAAAAUGAAGUAAGUACUAUAUAAAAACAAAGAUGGAAUGUGCAAAAAUUAUAUUUGUAUAUCCAAAUUUUUAUCUUCAGCCAGAUGGCCAUAUGGUAAAUCAAUCAUUCUCACCUUCUUUGAGUUCAAUUCCAAAUCUUACACACCCAAUUUUUCAAGAGAAGUCCUGGCUUGACUUGUUGAACCUCAUCUUUCAAAGUCUUCUGGUUUACCCAUCAUUACAACAUACACCACACAACCUAAUGUUACAUGCUUCAAAAGUAUCCAUUAUGGAGCCCAUCAUCAUGAAUACUUUUGGAGAUGCCUGUGAAAGUGGCAUUUCCUAAAAUGUCUGCAAUGAAAUUGCCUGUGAUAAAUUAAGUUACUUAUUUGAGUUUGAUCUCGGACUUGGC
rnacentral:lncRNA from 1 species